ACCCUUUUUUUUUUUUUUUUUUUAACAAGGAUUUACAGGAUUUGUAGAUUAAAUUGCCCCUAUUCUCCAAGAAGCAGUGGGAACAGCAGCGCUGCAGGGUGAUGGGCUGCAGAGGCCUCUGCAGCAGGGUGGGGUCUGGGGAGACAUUCGGGUGCCUCCUGUCCACGGCCUCGAUAGGCCAGGGCGCCUGCAGCUUGGGCCCUCUUCCCCUUUCAGGUGGAGGGAGCUGUUCAUCCUCUGGGGGCUGCUGGGCAAGAAACAUUUCUUACCUGAUAAUGUGAAGCGUCAGAGGUCCCUGUUUUAUGGCUCUACUGAAAUGAAGAAAGAAAAACAAUACAUGCCCAGCUCCAGAGACACGUAAAGGGACAGAGAUUGGGGGACAGAAGGAAGUGCAUUAAUUCCUUCCACGACCCCUGAAGAGCAGCAGUGGGUCUGAGCAUCCUAUCUCCAGGAAGCGGGCCAGCAGGAUUUCCAAAGAUGAUGUUAAUAAACCCAGCCACAGUUCUGAUCUCCAGGAAAGCAAUUGCUGUGGGACAAAAGGACAAGGGUUAAAAGAGAACAGUGGGAGCUCUCUUUCCCAACUAACUCAUGCAGUGUGACGCAGAGGCUUUCAGCACAGCCCAGGGUGCCCGGGACUGAAAACCCCUUCACCAGCCCCCUCCA
rnacentral:sRNA from 1 species